UACUUACCCUUCAAGCAAGAAAACGGAGUCCAGAAAAGACAGUCCGACCUCCGACCGAGAAACGCGGGGUUGCACUCACACACUUGCAACUUUUUGUGUAUGAACACAAAGUCGAACGAGAAUCGUGGUGGAAAGUGAGAAAUGGAAAAAAAAGUGAAACAGACAUAGCCAACAAGAGCAAAAGCGUCAUUUUGUUAUGUUUCGUUGAAGUGUAUAGUCGCGUCGCGUCGUGUCUCGUGUCGUUGUUAUUAUAAUAUUAGUAUAAUUAUAAACAAUAUCAAAUUAUAAACAAUAUGGAAACAAAAAAAGAUGUAAUCUCUAAUGAUGAAGAAAAAUCUAGAAGGUGAAACAUGCGAUUGGUAAUCUAAAAAACACCAACAACAGCAGCAGCAUCAAAUGAAAUAAAAUGAAAAAAAAUGUAUUGUAUUUUAUAUUGUAUUUAUUGUGAAAAUUUCGUUUGCCAAAAUAAAAUAAAAAAUAAAA